AGAUAGUCCUUAUAACUCUAAAUUCUACGCAGAACUUAUCAAUUCCCAGUGGACAAUGUUGCUUUCUUCUCUACAUUCUUUCCUCUGAUAUACAUUCUCUUCUACCAUAAAAACUUUUUCAAAAAUGCACAUUCUUAGCUUAACUUCCCAAUCUAGAUUCUCCAUAAAGAUAGUCUGGUGGCUCUUCAUUAAUCCCUUUCUGGGAGCACUGAGGUCGUGUAACUAGGAAAUUGCUUAUGAUUAAGGGCCUUUCAUUUAAAUCUUGCUGACCUCACACAAAAAAUUAAAGGAACAGUAAUCUUUCCAAAACUCACAUGAGAAUACUAAAAUAGUGGGAGAAUGUGGCCUUGUACAGUUUCCACUCAAGGACUAGGAACUGAAUGUCUGCACCCUUAAAACCACUCUCUUGGCCGGGCGCGGUGGCUGAAUUUUUUUUUUUUCCCCCAAGAAUGAAGUGACACAAAUUAGGAUCAUGACACUGAAUCCGAUGAAAAUAACAGACUUAGUCCCCAGACUUUCCAAGCUGGGAAGGAAAAGGGAACCACAAAGGAGUUCCCAAAGCGUUAACCUUUCAUUUAAAUAUCUCAAUAUUUGAAUGAUUUCUACACACAGCCUUUUUUAGCUUUUGUAUGUGCAGUGACCAAACUACUAAUCAAAUACAACAAAACUGGGCGGGCGCGGUGGAUGCCUGUAAUUCCAGCACUUUGAGAGGCCGACGUGGACGAAUCACUUGAGGCCAGGAGUUCAAGACCAGCCUGGCCAACAUGAUGAAACCCCGUCUUUACUACAAAUACAAAAAUUAGCCGAGUGUGGUGGCGCGCGCCGGUACUUCCAGCUACUCGGGAGUCUGAGGCAGGGGAAUCGCUUGAACCCGGGAGGCAGAGGUUGCAGUGAGCCAAGAUCGCGCCACUGCACUCCAGUUUGGGCGAC
rnacentral:lncRNA from 1 species